AACACUGAUUUUGAAAUGAUAUGAUAACCAAGCUUGUUUUCAGCAUUUAUAAACGUAAGCAAGAUUAGGUAUAGCUAGUUCAUAAGCAAGAAGGUCUCUGUUAAAACAGUGUUUCGUAAACCUGGCUUCAAUACAAUGUUGUCUGUCUUGUCAACAAUCCAUUGUUACCACAAAAUCUUUUGUGUAGGUCCAAAAGUGAGUAUUGUUUUAUUCGCAGAAAUGAUAAUUAGUGACCUUUCACAUACAUAUUUGUUAAUAUUGAGAACAAGCCACUUCACUCUAACAGCAUGGUUAUCUGAUUUAAAUUUAAAUUAUAAACAGUACUUUGCAAUCCACAGAUGAUGCAAUCAUAAUUCUACCGCGCUUGGUUUGGGCAAUACCAACUAUUUUGUGCAAAGAUCUAUUUUGAAUCGAAAGAUUGUACAAAUCAGACAAUGAUUAUCUUCCUUAAUCAAAGAAGUUAUUUGUUAUAUCAACCAAGGUUUACGUAGAAUAGUUGAUCUUUUAAAAUAUGUAUUUUUCAUGUUUUGUCGUAAUUUUUCAAUGGAACAUUCCGGCGGGCACAAGCAAAAAUGGAAAAGUCCAUUGUGACCAAAUGAAGGGGGAUUAAUAUGUUCAGAAGACUUGCUUAAGAUAAACUAGUAGAGCCAACACGUUAUAUGCUGUUUUAUAACUUAUUUAUUUUCAUAAUGAUGGCAUAAGGAAGUGUAACACAAAAAAAUUAAUUCUAUUUAUUGCAUUUUUGGGAUACCCUUUGAGUAUUUUUAUAUUGUGACCGACCCAGCGCCAUCUUGUCACAUUUGCGACGUACAUCUGAUGAUCCAGAACAUGACGAGGACGAACAGGAAAAACAAUUAGGAAUAUAAUAUUCGGCGGACAAGAUAAAAGGAGUUUCAGGCCAAACGAGCUUACAUUGAUUGUGGAGCCAUAAGAGGAGAUACCAGAGCUCCAUCCAUCGUGGAUGUUUAUCCAGAGAACUGCAUCAUGUGCCUAGAGAAAUGCAUAGAGUCCUUGCUCCCCACUAUGAAUUCAUUGAGGGAGUCAGAAUGUGAUGGGAGGAUUGCUGCGCCAGGGUCAUUUUACAGAGUAUGAAAGAAGGCAAUAAAGCCACCAAUCAACAGGGAUAAAAUGGAAGCCAACUUUGCUCUGGUGAAGGCCCUUCCCAUUCUCUUUCCCCCAGUGGCACCUCCAUCAAAGAAACUGGGGUGUGCUAGUGAAGCUUUACUGCAUGUUCAGGAGUCAACAGAAGAUCCAAACGUCUUCAUCCAGAAGAGAGGCCUGUCAAGUCCAGUCUUGGUGUUCGAUGGCAGCAGAUGAAUCGUUGCUAUUGGUUUGAUGCCAGUGACGUUUGAAAAAGAAAAGCUUCACGAAGGUCUGAUUUUCUAAAUGGCAUAUUAUUACACACUACAUCUGACCUACACAAAUUGCGUGGCCACCCUUCUGUCAUUCAGACAGAGAUCCUUCAGGAUACAAUUCACAAGUGGGACAUCACCACCACAUGAAAGAGCAUUAAAGUAAAGAAUUUGUUGGAAGAUAAACUGCUUUUGCAGGUCAAUGUUUAUGUCUGUUUAGAUGAGUAUUCUAAUUGUGUUGUUAAAGAAAUAAUUGUAUUCCUAGUGCCUUUGGGUAUAUUUGUAUCAGAAAUCUCAGUUUGUAAGUUGAAUAAAAGAAUCGAAAAGUGAAUUUGUUUUCAUUCUUUUUAGUAUUGAAACAAGAAAAAAUAUCAUUUGCAACAGCUUGUUUCAAGAUGUAUUUUCUGAAUUUUAGUAGGCAAUAAAUUUUAAUCAAGCUCCUAUAUCCUAGUUUCUAGUUUUUUUGUUUUAAAUUACUGCUUAAAAUAAGUGUUUUUGCCUAAUUUCAAGAUUUAACCGAUUUACUAUGGCUUAGAUAUUUUUACUUAAAUCAAGACAUCUUGUUAAGUAAAAUUUACUAGCUGCAUGGACAGAUAAUUUGACUUAUUUCUAGUCAAUUUCUACUAAAAACAAGUAUUUUUUUCUUGAAUUAAGAUGGUGGUUUUUUGCAGUGCACAGUUUUAAGGUUCACUCACUCAGUUUCUAAAUACGCCCGCUCAGUUGUCUUUACGCCCUUUCAAUUUUUGGCAUUUAUGUAAUUCGAUAGGAAGGGAGACAAGAGCGCUGCAAGUGAGCGACCAUUCAGUUUGUGAUCAGUUAGGGAGAACAGUAACAAGAUAAAAAUGUUUCCUCUAAAAAAAUCAGAGACUGGAUGUUUUAUUAACCCACUCUAGAAGCGCUGAGGUUCUGAACGGGCCUUAACGUGCCCGCGCCUUAACAGCCGGUGUGCGUUUUGUAUGUGUCAAAGACGGAAAAAUCCCCCGUGACUGAGGCCGCAACCUAACAUCCGGUGCGCCCUAUGGUCGUGAAAAUACUGUAUUUCUUUCUUUUGUAAAUGACCGUGGUAUAAGCGGGUUAAUGGCCUUCAAAGUGUCCAUUACCGCUUCUUCACUUCAUAUUGGACGGUUCAGGCUUCCAUGGCGUGCGUUAAAAAGUGAUAAUGCACACUUCAUCGGCCAUUAACCCUUUCAUGUAACCAUUCUUUGUGAUUCUUUGUCUGCAUAUGUCGGUGAAGGUUCUCAUUCAUCCAUUGUCUAGAAGUUGAGUCGUAGCAACUGGACUUAUUUAUCUCCAGCAGGCUCUAGAUUCAGUUUCUAACUGGUUGAACUGAUGCUCCUCUUAGAUGCACCAACAUAAAAGUCUGUAGCAUCUACCUUUUUGACCACAUUGGAUUUCAGCAGUUUUAUCCCACUAUCUGUCACACACGUAGGUGUGCAACAUUUGUUCUCUGAAUUUGAUCCCGGUGAGCAGCAGACACAGCUCCACUGUUGGACAUUUGGUGGACAUUUGGUGGUCCAACCCCCCAAUGCUGAGUGUCAAGCAGGGAAGCAUUGGCUCCCAUUUUUAAAGUCUUUGGUGACUCAGCCUGGGUUUGAACCUAUGACCUUCCAGUUGCAGGGCGGACACUCUACCACAAGGCCACUGAGCUGCAACUGUAUAGUUGCUGUAAAAAUCAGCAUCAAUGACCUGAAAAUGAUUGACUUACAAACUGGUGAACAAAGUAAAGGAAACUAAAAGGAAACUUAUUAAUAACAGUAUAACUGAGUUUUUGUAUUAUUUUUUUCCUCAGAGAACAGCUGGAAGCAUCGGUGCAACCAUAGAUGUUUUUUAGAGCCCUGACCUAACCUUUCUGUCAAAAUAAUGCUGGUUUCACAUUUAUUAUCUUCUUUUUUAUUUGAUCAGAUUCAAUAUUAUCAUUCCAAUAUUUACUUUAGACUUUCUGUCUGUAAUCAAAGCACAACUGGAAAAAUAUCAGAUUCAUGUUUUUAAAGGAGCUGAAGAACAAACUAAGAUGAGAAUCUUAGAGAACCAUCAACACCACAAUACUGAACCCUUUUCCUUCAUUUCAACUCUUGUUUUGAACCUUUUUCCCUGCAUAGAUCCUCCUGAAUGGACUACAGUUAAAGUUAGCUGAUUUCCAGCAUGUGUUGGAAUUUAUCCAGACUACUUAAGGUUGAUAUCCGGCUUAAGUCCAGCAUGAAAUAUGGAGCAGAGAAGAUGCAGAAUGCAUUGAGAAAAGCCUGGAUACAAAUCUGCAGUUUUUUCAAUGACUUUCCUGAUACCUUCCUGUCAAUGAAGGCCAUGUGAUUGUUCAUUUAAGUACAAAUCAAUAAGAAAUGGACUUCUACUGUCUUUCAGGCAUCAACAAAACUCUUUGGGAUGAAAUAAAACAGCUGAAAAAUCAGAUUGAAGUCUUGGAAGGUGAACGGUGUCCUGAAGGAUGGAAGAGAUUUGGA